CUUAUAUCCAAACUAAAUCCACCCUCCCUGAGCUUGAAACCAUUUCCCUUUGUUCUAUUGCCACAGAUCCUGCUAAAGAGUCUUUGCCCUUCUUUCCCGUAGCUCCCCUUUAGAUACUGAAAGGCUGUUAUCAGGUCACCUCUCAGCCUUCUCUUCUCCAGGCUGCACAGCCCCAGCUCUCUCAGCCUGUAUGCGUAGGAGAGGUGUUCCAUUCCCUGAAUCAUUUUUGUGCCCCUUCUCUGGAUGCACUCCUAGAAGUCUAUGCCUGUCAAGUCUCCUGUACUGAGGACUCCACAGCUGCAUGCAGUACUCCAGUUCAAAGAUUAAAGAAGGAACAGAGAUUGUUUUCCUGGAUCGUGAAGGAUGACCAUUGCAUGGGCUCUGCAGGAGGUGCGUGGCAAAGAAACAGGCUUUGCCCAGGAUUUUAUGACCAUUUUAGUAGUAGUAGGUUCCUGCAUUCCAACUCUAUAUUUUUUUAACUUAUAUUGAGAGAUAUUUUCUUUCUUUUAAAG
ensembl:lncRNA